CGGAGAAUAACUAUCUCCAAGCACCAAUAUUUGAAGCCAUUUGAGGUGGCGAUUAGUAAUUGCUCAACAACGAUCAAAACAAAUAUAUAUACUCUGCAACUGAUGCUUGUUAUUAUUAUUGUCACAUCGGGCGAACAUGGAAUAUUGAUAAUGACUCAACCAAUCACAGCAUCCACUAGGAAUACGAGACGAUCCCCGUUCAGUACACUUUUGCCUGCUCAAGGGUUCGGUCAGUAACGGUUCCAGUAUGAACAGAACUUCGUUGGUUAUUCUACUCGUGGCAGUACUUGCCUGUUCGGAGAUAUUGUCGGUACAGGCAGCGGUCGUCGUGCACCAAAAUCAGGCAGCCGGUCGAGUUCCGAGAUCCGCCGAUGAUAGCGGCAGUCCCUGUGGUGCCAACUGUAUUCUACGCGGGAUUCACAACAUGUGUCUCUGCACAAUGUGUCCGCUGGAUAGUCGACUCUGUACCCUGCAGAGUUAUGUCAUUCGAUAGGGAUGCACAAAGCAGUCAGUGUAGCAUAAAAUAGAAUAAAAGUGUAUCUUGUUAGUAUAAUUUUCGCACAUAAA